rnacentral:lncRNA from 1 species
UCUCAAUACUUUCUUUCAAAACUUCACAACUGUCGUAGAUGACCAAGUACAGCGGCUGUGGUGGUUCGAUCAUGUUCAUCACUAACAAUUUACGAGAUUACCGGUGGGGCGGUAAUCCGUUAUGGCGGACAAGGGGAUGGUGAGACGAUUCACAACGCCGACGGGCGGCGAUUAGGGCCCUACAAGUAGAAUAUGGCUGCUAACAAGUCAAAUGGAGUAGUUGACCUCCGCCGAUAUACAAGGUUGCUCAGAUCAGUAGAAUCAAAGGUUAAUCGGCAAACAACUUCCUGACAAUCAGGAUUCUGUGCGCCGUUAGCUGAGGCGGUGGUGGUGCACGUGUCAGCGGUGUAUAUGGUGGCGGUGGUGAACAUGGUUGUUGUUUUCUUCUACCUGUGAAAUGCAGGGUGCUUCAUGGGUUGAAUAGAGAACUUUGCAAUGAUAUUAGUAGCAAGCUUAUAAGAUUUAUGCAUAAGUAGACAUAAAAUACUAAACUUUUGUGUUAAAUGCUCUUCUAUUUAUCUUAUAGUUAUGUUGCAGAAUAGGAUAAUCCAGUUGGGACAGGAUACAGUUUUGUGGAGGAUGAAGAGUUAUUGGUGAAAAUAGAUGAAGAAGCUGCUAGGGACUUAACUACAUUGUUGAUUAAAUUAUUUAACAGAUAUGUCGUACUGCAGGUUUAGUACGUCCUAUGACAAAUACUCACAUCAUCACAUGACCAGAGAGAUCUGGGACAACGUCGACACCAACGAUUAGUUUCAAGAAAGGGAAAAUUAAAGGAGAAGCAGAAGAUAGAUUUUUUUAUCUGAACCCAAAUAAAGAUAAAGUGAAGCGGAAGAACUGAAUCGGCGAUGCAGAGAUAUGCAGUCAUUAACCUUUGAGGAAAGAAAGGUCAACCCGCUCCACCUCCAGGUACACAUGCAUAAAGGCCAGACCAAAAAACAAUUAGCCAAUUACAAAUCUCCUCGGAUGCAAGUGAUGACCUGUCAACAAAAGGAAAACUUUUUUCAUGAAAGAAUUUCACACGCCUAUGUUUGUAUUGUAAGUCGUAGGAUAACGGAUUUUUUCAAAGAUGGAAGACAUUUUGACUUGGAAUAAUACGUUUUGAUUCGAGGGUAUUUAAUUCGAGUUACUUUGUGUUUUAGCCAGCCGCAAUGACGGAGGGACUGGGUGUUACACCUUCACCUUCAAUCUCAUCGUCGUCUUCCCUCACCAUCGCCUCGGUAACCAGCCUUGACAACACCAACAUUGGUAACCAAGCGGAUUCUCUUUGAUUGACUGCAUGUUGGCUUUUGCGGCUUCCCAAUGUCUCUUAUUGCUGCACCAGUCCACCACCAUGGCGUGACAACUUGACAAGCAAGGAAAAAAGCAUAGCAGAUGACGCCUGGCGUUGCAUGCCAAAAUGAAACAACUAGCAAGUGCAUCGUAAAGACAUAAAUGUAUCUUGUAAUGGUUUGUGGUUCCCUAACCGGUUUUCAUGGGAUUUUAGUGACUAGAUGUAACUGGUGUAUUACUCUUCAUGAAUGUACUUCAUGGGUAUGUUUUUGCUAAAAUUUAUUUUUCCUUUCUAUGAUUGCUGGAUGUUGGUGUU